CUCCCGAAUGGGUCAAUGGGUUUCCCAAGAUCUCUGUGUACAGAUGUUUGUAAUAGGUGAUCGUCUACCUGAGCCCUGUGUUGCUGGUUCUUUCAUGGCCAUAAGUAAAGAAAUCCUCAAGCAUUUCAUCCAAGAGGAUGCCCUUUGUUUACCUCUGACCAAGCAGACAAAAAUGCUAUUGCAGUUGCUGCUUCAUUUGUACACUCACGAUGACUUGCUGAACUGCCUGUCCCCAAGGGCCAGCUGGAACAAAAUACUUAUUAACCAAACUUAAACUCCUCAGCUUCCCGGUCCCUGACUUUUUGUCACUCAUCAGCCACACAGCCAGCAAACACAAGCCCUCCAGAGAACGGCCACCUCGGCAAAACUCGUCUCCUCUCAGGUCAAGGUGCCCUUAUUUCUCCCCUCCUCCACAAGUUCCUACUAGCAGUUUCCUUCUUUCCUACACCUGAGAGCCUCAGAUCUGUCGGUAACUUCUUCCCACCUAGUUGCUUCUCUUUUCGUGCAAUAAUCCUUUGCAAUGCCCUCGCCUUGUUAAGCCCAGGGUUGUCUGACAUUUUCUUUUUAAACAUUCUACACCUUGGACACUCUCCUGUUUAUCACUGCUGCAGUACCACGGUAUACUAUGAUUUUUGUGAUUCUAAGAUUAAUGCUUACUGUUUUCUUAGCACUACCAAAAGGAUCAAGAGACGAAAUAAAUGUACAACAGAUUUAUCACACACCUUAAGUAGUAAACAGAAACUUGUUCCUCAUAAUUUGAACAUGGCCAGCACAGGGGAUUAUUCAUCUUAACUUCACUGAUCAGGUUCAAAAUGGGUGAUUAAGUGUUAUCUCCUCCUAUCCAUGAUCAAUCUAUACAGUAACUCAAGUUAGAUGGGCUGAGGAAGUUGACCAACCUCUUACAAGGCUGCUUCUUGCUUGUCUGAAGCUGUUCAAGCAGAACACCAUGUUCACUGAGGAAACUCCCAUAACCAAAAAUCAACAGCAGAGGGAGCUGAGGACUAAGGGGACUCGCUUUUCUUCCCGUAUUCGUAGGGUAGGUGAGAGAAAAUAUAUCUCACGAUAAUGACUGCUCUUAUAUAGCUUUAACUUUCUAACCCUAAGUACUAGAUGCAGCCAACCAAUACUUAUUAACACAAAGGACGCUGAAUGAUUGUGAAACUGAACAGUAUCCAUGCUGUUGAAAAACACACACAAAACUUUCACUUCUUCCUGCAAAACAGCAUAGUGUAAGCUGCUCUAAAUGCCACAUAUUCAGGCCAAAAGGCACUACCUAUAAAGUUCCUGUCUACUCCACCGCGUCCCCUGCUUGGAAAGUCUUUGGCCCUUACCGCGGGGCGCCUUGAUCACACACACAUUCAAGACACCGGCGGCACUUUCAGCGGACGGGUGCAGCCUCAACCAAGAGCUACCUACUCUUCGCAGUCCUCCCUGGGUUCGCACAGCACUCGGUGUUUUGAACCCGUUACCUCUCCGGGGUGCACCUCCGGUGUUCCCACUACGGAAACGGCGUUAGAAACGCUUAGGCUCCGAGGAGACGAAGGCGCUUUCCGCGGGACCGGGCCUCCCUCUCGCACCCCACUGCCGGCCACAAGGGGGCGCCGACGAGCCUUUCCGCCGGGGCAGCGCCGGGGCUCAGCGGCUCCCCGAGGGAAGUGCUUGAGCUUUCGAAGUGCGGGAAGGAAGCAAAACCUAAAAUUGUCGUUGUAAGCACCUAAUGAAAAUCGUGGGACAGGGAAGUAAGAUAAAGCCCACUGUUAUGGCGUGGUUCUUGAUGUCCCCCCAAAGCCUCAUGCAGU
ensembl:lncRNA